rnacentral:rRNA from 1 species
AGAGUUUGAUCCUGGCUCAGGACGAACGCUGGCGGCGUGCCUAAUACAUGCAAGUCGAGCGAGCUUGCCUAGAUGAUUUUAGUGCUUGCACUAAAUGAAACUAGAUACAAGCGAGCGGCGGACGGGUGAGUAACACGUGGGUAACCUGCCCAAGAGACUGGGAUAACACCUGGAAACAGAUGCUAAUACCGGAUAACAACACUAGACGCAUGUCUAGAGUUUGAAAGAUGGUUCUGCUAUCACUCUUGGAUGGACCUGCGGUGCAUUAGCUAGUUGGUAAGGUAACGGCUUACCAAGGCAAUGAUGCAUAGCCGAGUUGAGAGACUGAUCGGCCACAUUGGGACUGAGACACGGCCCAAACUCCUACGGGAGGCAGCAGUAGGGAAUCUUCCACAAUGGACGAAAGUCUGAUGGAGCAACGCCGCGUGAGUGAAGAAGGGUUUCGGCUCGUAAAGCUCUGUUGGUAGUGAAGAAAGAUAGAGGUAGUAACUGGCCUUUAUUUGACGGUAAUUACUUAGAAAGUCACGGCUAACUACGUGCCAGCAGCCGCGGUAAUACGUAGGUGGCAAGCGUUGUCCGGAUUUAUUGGGCGUAAAGCGAGUGCAGGCGGUUCAAUAAGUCUGAUGUGAAAGCCUUCGGCUCAACCGGAGAAUUGCAUCAGAAACUGUUGAACUUGAGUGCAGAAGAGGAGAGUGGAACUCCAUGUGUAGCGGUGGAAUGCGUAGAUAUAUGGAAGAACACCAGUGGCGAAGGCGGCUCUCUGGUCUGCAACUGACGCUGAGGCUCGAAAGCAUGGGUAGCGAACAGGAUUAGAUACCCUGGUAGUCCAUGCCGUAAACGAUGAGUGCUAAGUGUUGGGGAGUUUCCCGCCUCUCAGUGCUGCAGCUAACGCAUUAAGCACUCCG